AUUGAACGCUGGCGGCAGGCCUAACACAUGCAAGUCGAGCGGAUGAAGGGAGCUUGCUCCUGGAUUCAGCGGCGGACGGGUGAGUAAUGCCUAGGAAUCUGCCUGGUAGUGGGGGAUAACGUCCGGAAACGGGCGCUAAUACCGCAUACGUCCUGAGGGAGAAAGUGGGGGAUCUUCGGACCUCACGCUAUCAGAUGAGCCUAGGUCGGAUUAGCUAGUUGGUGGGGUAAAGGCCUACCAAGGCGACGAUCCGUAACUGGUCUGAGAGGAUGAUCAGUCACACUGGGACUGAGACACGGUCCAGACUCCUACGGGAGGCAGCAGUGGGGAAUAUUGGACAAUGGGCGAAAGCCUGAUCCAGCCAUGCCGCGUGUGUGAAGAAGGUCUUCGGAUUGUAAAGCUCUUUAAGUUGGGAGGAAGGGCAGUAAGUUAAUACCUUGCUGUUUUGACGUUACCAACAGAAUAAGCACCGGCUAACUUCGUG
rnacentral:rRNA from 1 species